rnacentral:rRNA from 1 species
UCUCCUAUGGGAGGCAGCAGUGGGGGAUAUUGCACAAUGGGGGAAACCCUGAUGCAGCGACGCCGCGUGAGUGAAGAAGUAUUUCGGUACGUAAAGCUCUAUCAGCAGGGAAGAAAAAUGACGGUACCUGACUAAGAAGCCCCGGCUAACUACGUGCCAGCAGCCGCGGUAAUACGUAGGGGGCAAGCGUUAUCCGGAUUUACUGGGUGUAAAGGGAGCGUAGACGGCUGCGCAAGUCUGAAGUGAAAGCCCGGGGCUCAACCCCGGGACUGCUUUGGAAACUGUGUAGCUAGAGUGCUGGAGAG